GUAACAUCCAGAAUGAAAUAAGCUAUCACAAUACCAGGCCUGCUUUUUGUGUUGCCUCGGACAGUCCCUCUGUUAGCCAGCAGAGAGCAGCGCCGUGCUGAAUAAAGACACUAACUUCCUGAGAGAGGAAAAGGAGGAUAACAAACAGCAGCGGUGAG